rnacentral:lncRNA from 1 species
CAUAUAUUCAAUAUUUUAUUAAAGUAUGUAUUUUUCAUAUUAAGUUAGCAGUUCUUUACCUUAUUUCAGAGGUCAACUCUCUAAAAUAAGUUCAGUUGACCUUUAUUUUUAAGGUUUGACUAUUAUGAAUUUGGUUGAAGUAAAUCUUAUUCCAAAAUGAUUUCAAUCUUAAAUUUCUUGAUUACGUGUAAUAAUAUUUUCUUUCCAAAAUCUGAAACUUAACAUUGGCCUGAUAGAUAAUAACAUUUCAUAUUUAUUUGUAUAUUUUGGUUGUGUAUUUAUAUAUUUUGAUAAAAGAGGGUGGAUUUGUUUGUUUCAUAGUGCUGUAUAUAAGUAUAUCCCUGGCAAUUAAUGCAUGCUGUCUUGUACUGGGUAUCAUAUGCUCCCUGGUUUUAAUUUGCAUAUUCAUAUUGUUAGGAAUUUGGAAAACAUCAAUGCUCUAUAUUUAAUAUUAUUCCCAAAUUUCUUUCAUUUAAACCUUAAUAGAUUUAAAAAACGCAUUUGUCUUAGAUAUCUGUAAAAACUUUUCUCGAAGCUUUAAUGAAUUGCCAUUUUUGCUUCAAUCUUUUAUCCUUUCUUCAGAGCCAGACUUUGAAAAAGGAAAUCUUUACAAUUGGUAAAUUUCUUAGAAGGAGCACACACUUCUUUUACAUACUUGAGGGUUCAGAGUAAAUAUAAUAAAAAGAAACUACAAUUAUAUUUUCAAUGUUUAAUGAUAAAAUUUCCCCAGAAAAAUAUUGCUCUUCAUAGGCUUUAAUUUAAAAUAGAAGAAAAGUAUUAAAAAUUGUUUUUGUUCCAAUUGGAUUGCUCACAAAACAAAAACUGUAUAGGUAUAAGCCCAUCUUUUUAACAAAAAGUUAUCAUAUAUUAUACUUGAAUGAUUAUGAGUUACGGGUAUUUUAACUCAGAAGAUUGUUAAAUAUUUUUGGAGGUGCAGUGGAUUAUUUUAAAGAUUUGUGUGAUCCUUCUUAAAAAUGAUAAUUUUCUGUUAUGUAUUUAUCUUGUUAUUGUUAUUAAUUGUAUUAUGUUAUAAACAUUUUAUUUGUGAACAAGAUAAUAAAAUGCAAUACACAUAAAUUGAACAAAAAAAA